GGGGAAUAUUGCACAAUGGGGGAAACCCUGAUGCAGCAACGCCGCGUGAAGGAUGAAGGUUUUCGGAUUGUAAACUUCUUUAGUCAGGGACGAAAAAAAUGACGGUACCUGAAGAAUAAGCCACGGCUAACUACGUGCCAGCAGCCGCGGUAAUACGUAGGGAGCAAGCGUUGUCCGGAUUUACUGGGUGUAAAGGGUGCGUAGGCGGGAAUGUAAGUCAGAUGUGAAAUCCCAGGGCUUAACCCUGGAGCUGCAUCUGAAACUAUGUUUCUUGAGUGCCGGAGAGGAAAGCGGAAUUCCUAGUGUAGCGGUGAAAUGCGUAGAUAUUAGGAGGAACACCAGUGGCGAAGGCGGCUUUCUGGACGGUAACUGACGCUGAGGCGCGAAAGCGUGGGGAGCAAAC
rnacentral:rRNA from 1 species